AUGAUGUCAGCAGCUAAUCAAGUAGCUGCAUCCUCCCUGUGGCGGCAGUCUCCCCUGGGCACUGCUGGUGGUGCGAGGCAUGGCGAGAUCCAUCCGGCUUGGCGAGAUCUGGCGCAUGAUCUGGUUCCUGGGUUGCAGAGGGCUGCGGGAAGCCUGCUGCGGGGCCCGUCUCCCUGCGCUGCCCCACAUUUGAAUCUCGAGUGGGUGCCCCCGCCUGUCCCCACGCCCCCACGUGCGGCUGAGCGCUGCAUCCUGGGGCCGUUCGUGCACUGGCUGCGUUAUCCCUUCACUUCGGCUUUCUCAGUUUCGCUCCUGCCGGCUGCGAGAGCCAGUGACGCACUCGAGCAGCGCUCACGCAGCACCCGAGAACAGGCAUCCUGUUUCCAAAACAGCCAGCGCAGCCCUGCUGCUUUCAGCAUCCAUGUUCCCAAGGGGAAACAGAGGGAGCUUGAGAGCCAGGAGCAAAAGGGGAGGAAAUGGGAGGGUGGGGAUUUUCUCUCUUUCCCCCCCCCCCCCCCAAAGAGUAUCAAAAUGAGACAAUUUGGAGUGCAGCUAGGAAGGAAUAGUACAACGUGGCCCCCAAACCUGCGAAGAUUUGGGGCAGCACUGGGUCACUGGGGUGUCCUGCGGAGCAGCCGGUGCUCAGGCUGCAGUGCACAGGUGCAGCGUGUGGUUGUGCAGCCUCCUGGUGGUUUCCUGGUGCUGCAAGCCAGCCAAGGUAGGGGACCAGCCAGGAAGCCCAUCGCUGCUGCCAGGCGUCCCUCUGUCCCACGCAGGAUCCCCUCCCCUUUCGUGGAGAUGCCCAGGGAAACACAAAAUGCAGGGCUUGCUUUAUGGUUUUUGAGCUCAAUGUUCAGCCUUAAAAAUAAAUCAGUGCGAGGCAGAUGCCAGCUGGGGAAUGUUUCAUCAGGGCUGGGUGGGAUGGGUGUUGCAGUAGAAACUCUCACAUCCCUCGUGCAGGCAGCACUGGUGGCAGCAGCGGGCACAAACGCUGCCGGCUGGCGCAAGCCGCACGCCCUCCGUGUAUGGAAACUGCUGUGCAUCUCGCAGGGCAGCGGCGCUCUCCAGCCCGACACGGUCCGUGUGGUUUAG
rnacentral:lncRNA from 1 species